ACUGCGAAUGGCUCAUUAAAUCAGUUAUCGUUUAUUUGAUAGUACCUUACUACUUGGAUAACCGUGGUAAUUCUAGAGCUAAUACAUGCUGAAAACCCCGACUUCGGAAGGGAUGUAUUUAUUAGAUUAAAAAACCAAUGCCCCUUCGGGGCUCCCUGGUGAUUCAUAAUAACUGCUCGAAUCGCACGGCCUUGCGCCGGCGAUGGUUCAUUCAAAUCUCUGCCCUAUCAACUUUCGACGGCUGGGUCUUGGCCAGCCAUGGUGACAACGGGUAACGGAGGGUUAGGGCUCGACCCCGGAGAAGGAGCCUGAGAAACGGCUACUACAUCCAAGGAAGGCAGCAGGCGCGCAAAUUACCCAAUCCCGACGCGGGGAGGUAGUGACAAUAAAUACUGAUACAGGGCUCUUUUGGGUCUUGUAAUUGGAAUGAGUACAACUUAAUUCCCUUAACGAGGAACAAUUGGAGGGCAAGUCUGGUGCCAGCAGCCGCGGUAAUUCCAGCUCCAAUAGCGUAUAUUAAAGUUGUUGCAGUUAAAAAGCUCGUAGUUGAACCUUGGGCCUGGCUGGCCGGUCCGCCUCACCGCGUGCACUGGUCCGGCCGGGCCUUUCCCUCUGGGGAGCCGCAUGCCCUUCACUGGGCGUGCCGGGGAACCAGGACUUUUACUUUGAAAAAAUUAGAGUGUUCAAAGCAGGCUUAUGCUCGGAUACAUUAGCAUGGAAUAAUAGAAUAGGACGUGUGGUUCUAUUUUGUUGGUUUCUAGGACCGCCGUAAUGAUUAAUAGGGACAGUCGGGGGCAUCAGUAUUCAGUAGUCAGAGGUGAAAUUCUUGGAUCUACUGAAGACUAACUACUGCGAAAGCAUUUGCCCAAGGAUGUUUUUCAUUAAUCAGGAACGAAAGUUAGGGGAUCGAAGACGAUCAGAUACCGUCGUAGUCUUAACCAUAAACUAUGCCGACUAGGGAUUGGACGGUGUUAUUCUUUGACCCGUUCAGCACCUUGCACGCAAAGUACAAGUU
rnacentral:rRNA from 1 species